rnacentral:rRNA from 1 species
CGCGGUAAUACGUAGGGUGCGAGCGUUGUCGGAAUUACUGGGCGUAAAGAGCUCGUAGGUGGUUUGUCGCGUUGUUCGUGAAAACUCACAGCUUAACUGUGGGCGUGCGGGCGAUACGGGCAGACUAGAGUACUGCAGGGGAGACUGGAAUUCCUGGUGUAGCGGUGGAAUGCGCAGAUAUCAGGAGGAACACCGGUGGCGAAGGCGGGUCUCUGGGCAGUAACUGACGCUGAGGAGCGAAAGCGUGGGGAGCGAACAGGAUUAGAUACCCUGGUAGUCCACGCCGUAAACGGUGGGUACUAGGUGUGGGUUCCUUCCUUGGGAUCCGUGCCGUAGCUAACGCAUUAAGUACCCCGCCUGGGGAGUACGGCCGCAAGGCUAAAACUCAAAGGAAUUGACGGGGGCCCGCACAAGCGGCGGAGCAUGUGGAUUAAUUCGAUGCAACGCGAAGAACCUUACCUGGGUUUGACAUGCACAGGACGCCGGCAGAGAUGUCGGUUCCCUUGUGGCCUGUGUGC